CAGGGAAGGUAUCUUUUUGCAAGGACACGCUCUAGUCCUGAGCUUACUGAGACAUAUGGUGAAGUCUCUUGUCAAGGGAGGCGUAACAGAACUCAAGAAACUGGAAAAGGUCAGAGCUCUUACAGUAGCAGGAAAAACCUGGAAUCUGAUAAUUUGGGAAGCCAUGGUAUUAGAUCUUCAACUGAUGAUCCUUCGUCCAUAAGACUUACCUCAUCCCGUCAAAGCCUUGAAGCUGCUGGUGAUUCUAACAGUGGCUCAAAUAGUUACCAUGAGGAUUCAGGCCUAGGUUCUACUGGUGAAGAAUUUGUUUCUGUCCUUGGGACACAGGGGAUGCAUCAGGAGGAGCAGGAUUUUGUGAACAUGAUGUCAUCUUCCACAGGUCUUGGUUUUAAUGGACAAGUUAAUCUUCCACUGAAUUUGGCAUCAAGUCCUAUACCUCUUUCAAUC
rnacentral:misc_RNA from 1 species